rnacentral:lncRNA from 1 species
UUGUAUGCCACAGAGGUAACAAAUUUCCUUGUCAAAGUGCCUUUGACUAUAGCUGCCCUAAAACUUUUUGCCAUCCAUGGACAAUUGUUAUCUUGGUUUGAUCGGUUUUAUAAUCAGCUAUAAAAUGCUAACAGGUGCUUUUUAAUGCAGGUUUCUGAUAACUUUGGAGAUUGUGACAUCAGGAUAAAAGAAAACUUUCAGGACUCAUGGAGAGCUGAAAUGUUCAUGAAUGUCAAAUAGAACAGGAAUUAACUGCAUGGACUAAACUAACAGAAGUCCAAACUUUUAAUGAAUGAGUAUACUCCUAUGAACAACAUUUGGAUCAUAUUUGUUUCUCUCUGAUUUCCACAGAAUUUGGAAACUAUUUGAAUCAAACUGACUUAUGGAGCCAAUCAAAGCCCCUUGGAAAAACUGGCCUCAUACCUUUGUCUACAGAGUUCCUGACCUGUGAGUUUAUAGUUGACAUACGCAAAAGGAUUGGAUUAAUAGAAGGUACUUCACAAUUACCUCACAACUCUCAGAAGACAAAAGGAAUAUGACAAUGGACUCAUCAUUUUCAGAUGGAGUCUCGCACUGUCACUGCAAUGGCGCGACCUC